AUUGAACGCUGGCGGCAUGCUUUACACAUGCAAGUCGAACGGUAACAGGGUGCUUGCACCGCUGACGAGUGGCGAACGGGUGAGUAAUGCGUCGGAACGUGCCGAGUAGUGGGGGAUAACGCAGCGAAAGUUGUGCUAAUACCGCAUACGUACUGAGGUAGAAAGUGGGGGACUUUCGGGCCUCACGCUAUUCGAGCGGCCGACGUCUGAUUAGCUAGUAGGUGAGGUAAAGGCUCACCUAGGCGACGAUCAGUAGCGGGUCUGAGAGGAUGAUCCGCCACACGGGGACUGAGACACGGCCCAGACUCCUACGGGAGGCAGCAGUGGGGAAUUUUGGACAAUGGGCGAAAGCAUGAUCCAGCCAUGCCGCGUGUCUGAAGAAGGCCUUCGGGUUGUAAAGGACUUUUGUCAGGGAGGAAAUCCCUAGUGCUAAUAACACUGGGGGAUGACAGUACCUGAAGAAUAAGCACCGGCUAACUACGUGCCAGCAGCCGCCGUAA
rnacentral:rRNA from 1 species